rnacentral:tRNA from 2 species
CCCUCCAUAGCUCAGUGGUAGAGCAACGGACUUUUAAUCCGCUGAUCCAGGUUCGAUUCCUGGUGGGGGGACAA